ACUUGGGGUUGGUAGGUCCUUUCCCGGGAUCUCAAUAUGCUCUAAUUCUUGCAUGUCCCAAAUUUGCACAGGCAUAUAUGACUGAACUCCACGCUUUUUAAUGAUCAUAUGUCUGUAAAUAAUCAGGAAUUGAAGUUGAAAAAGGUUGGAUAUGGAAGCAGGGAGGUCACCGUUGUAAGUUAUGGCAAGAAGUCGUAGACAAACUAGUUUGAAAAUUUCAGUUGAGAUAUGGUAAAAUCGGACUUGACCAGCAUGUAGUACCCUGAGCAACUUGAAACCCAUGGCUUGUAUUGGAAUUGGAUAUGGGUGACCAAAACAAAGGAGAGAACGGACAGUCGAUGCACAAUCAAUUUUUAUCGAAUCAGACACUUGUUUGAAGCAUAAUAAACUGUUCCAAUGGGAACUCAAACGGCGCUGGUCUUUUAUAACAUCAUCACAACAUUGUAUGACAUGUAGAAACUUGAUCCUACUAGCUUCUACCCUACACAUGUGCUGCCAACAAGAAUGCACACGAUACUUUCUAUACCAAAACCAAGGUUCAUCAUCCUGUGAUUUGUCGAGAACAACAUGAUACCACAUCGAAAGCUUUCCCAAGCAUGUCUGCUUAAAAAGAUAAAAACUUUCUUCUCCACUCGGUUGAAGAAACACAUCAGCACUCAACGUAUAGAAGAGCAAUAUUACCGUGAUAUCCCAAUAUGGAGGGAAAGCUCCCAUGUAGAGAAGAAACAUUUUUAAAUAUUGGGGUAAGUAAUUAUAGCUUGGGAAAAGUACCUCUGAUAUUUGAUUAUAUGCAUCCACAAAGACUGAACUAUGUUUUUUGAUGAUUACCUCAGUCCAGUAUUCUGGGGUCUUGUCAGCUUCUGAUAAGAGCUUUGCAACCGUGACUAUCAUAAGAGGAAGGCCUUCACAUUUCAUGGCAAUCUUCUCUCCAAGUUUCUCAAGUUGAAAUGGAAAACCCUCUUCACCAAACACUUUCUCACCAAGUAAUUCCUUACUUUCUUCUUCAUUCAACAAGCGUAAUCUUUCAAAUUCACACCCACCCUCCGCGCAUACUAUUGCUUGUCUGCUUGUAAGUAUGAAUUGAAUCCUUCCAUCAAUAUUCUCAUGUCGCAAGAAAUUUCUAAUGAGAUUUACUGCUUGCAUCUCCCAAACAUCAUCGAACACGAUGAGACAUUUCUCAUCCUUCAAUUUUUCUUUCAAUACUUCAACUAAAUUCUCCCCAUUUUCAAGCAGUUCAUCAGCGUUGGGAAACACUUGAGCUAGAACGCAUGGUAAUAGUUCACAAGAUUCACAUUUUCUGCCCACUUUCACCCAUGCUCGAAACUCAAAAUGGCUCCGAAUUGAUGGAUCUUCAAAAAUAUACUUAGCAAGAGUUGUCUUUCCAACGCCCGCCAUCCCAAUAAUAGAAUAUGUUACGAUAAUGGAGGAGGAGAAGCAAAUGAGUUCUGGGCUAUUGGCUGAAAAAGGUGCUGAGCUGGCUGAAGAAAGAAAUUUCGUUGGCAAAACAGGGGAGGAUUUCCUCUCAAAAAGUGGCUAAGGAAGAAGAUGGUUGUUAUUUGAAGAAGCGUGUUUAUGUUAUCUAUUUAAUUGUUAUUUGUUUACUUUUCCAAGGCAGUUAGUUACGUGAGGGGACCAGCAUAUAUAUAUGCUUUGCAUGUAAAAGUUUUGACCUAAGAAAUGAAAUAUCCUAUCUCUCAUGCUUCUGCCUCCUCCUCCGAUUCUUUCUCUAUUUCUCCCAUCUAUUCUUCUUCUUCCUCAUCAAGUUUUUAACUUUAUACACUAUCCUUACAGAUCCACUACCGUGAAACAUAAAUCCAGCUAGAUCUAUUACAUUUGGUAUAUCAGAGCAAGGUUUCUUUGCUUUUAUUUAGCAAAGCUUGUUCGAUCAUGGCCGACGGUACGCGUUUGAAGGAACUGCAGGAAGCACAAAAGAAAAUGGAUCAGUUAUUGCAAGCUGAAUCAUUAAAAAGAACAGCUACUGAAGAAAGGUUUAAAGAGCAGAUAGCAGGGCUAGAUCAGAAGGUGGAUGCAAAAUAUGAUCAGUUAUCUGUCAUCUUGGGGGAAAUCAAACAACAACUCCUGUUUUUGGGCCAGAACAGGGAGGAUAUGGGAUCUAUUUUGGGUCCACCUCCGAACUCAGGCAAGAAAGAGGUAAUUCUAAUAGAAAUCAUGUUUUUACAUCUAAAAUCAGGAAUGAUUACUCAUCUCAGUCUAGUUUCAAUUCUGGAAAUUCUGUGCAUAGAAUCGAUUUCCCAAAAUUUGAUGGCACCAACCCUAGAGGAUGGAUUCUUAAGUGCAAUACCUAUUUCAAAUUGACUGCUGCUAUGUCUGAUGAGAAUAUGGUUCAACUUGCUGUUCAUAAUUUUGAGGGGAAAGCACUGCAGUGGUUACAGAAUUUUGGGUGUGAGAAUUUAUUUCUAUUACCUGGGAGCAAUUCAUGGAUGUGGUGGCUGCUAGGUUUGAGGAUUUGAAUGAGGGAAAAAUAGUAAUGGAAUUCAAGAAUCUUAAACAAAAUGGUUCUUAUGAUGAGUAUGUAGGAAAAAUUUGAAGAANGAUAUUUGAUUAUAUGCAUCCACGAAGACUGAACUACGUUGCUUGAUGAGUACCUCAGUCCAAUAUUCUGGGGGUCUUGUCGGCUUUUCGAUAGGAGCUCUGCAACCGUGACUAUCAUAAGAGGAGGCCUUCACAUUUCUUGGCAAUCUUCUCUCCCAGUUUCUCAAGUUGAGGUGGGAAACCCUCUUCACCAAACACUUCUCACCAAGUAAUUGCUUACUUUCUUCUCAUUCAACAAGCGUAUUCUUUCGUCACCCACCCUUUGUGUAUAUUAUUUGUUUUCUGCUUGUAAGUAUGAAUUGAAUCUUCCAUCAAUAUUCUCAUGUCGCUAGAAAUUUCUUAAUGAGAUUUACUGCUUGCAUCUCCCAAACAUCAUCGAACACGAUGAGACAUUUCUCAUCCUUCAAUUUUUCUUUCAAUACUUCAACUAAAUUCUCCCCAUUUUCAAGCAGUUCAUCAAAGUUGGGAAACACUUGAGCUAGAACGCAUGCUAAUAGGUCACAAGAUUCACAUUUUCUGCCCACUUUCACCCAUGCUCGAAACUCAAAAUGGCUCCGAAUUGUUGGAUCUUCAAAAAUAUGCUUAGCAAGAGUUGUCUUUCCAACGCCCGCCAUCCCAAUAAUCGAAUAGCUUUUAUCUGCAAGAAGAACAUCUCUGGCUUUUUGAAAUUCAUCAGAUAAUCCAACCAUCUUUGACUUGAUUCCACCAAAAUCAAUUCUUGAGGAAAUAGGCUCGUCUUCUUCUUCAGGCAUAUUCUGCAUUUCAAUGAAGUACUCCUCCUCCAUCAUCUUUACCAUCUCGACGAAGCAAUCAACAUGGUGUUGCAGACUCUGCAGCUCUACAGAGAAUGACAAGUUGUCUCUCUCGCUUUCGAGUUGUGGAAGAAUCUGAUGUAAGACAUGGGAUUCGAGUAAAUCUUCGAAUUCCCAAACUGCCUCUUUUAUGAGUUCAUCCAAAGCAUUCACCUUCGUCCUGAUCUUGCUGCAGCUCGUGUCGUCCAAUUUGAGCAGAACUUUCUGCAACUCAUCCAUCUGGCCGUAGGCAGGUAGUAAGAUUAGUGGAGAGUGGGAAACGAGAGAAAUGCGAGGCGAUUUUAGUAGAAUACGCAUAAUGGUAUUCUUGAGAGAAGCCGCCGCACCAUAAGCCGCCAUAUCCAAAUAAAUAAUCUGCUGAUCGUUGAAAUUAGCUCAGAAAUUUCCUCCAAAACUCUGUGGUAGAAAUCGCCUAAGAAAGAAACGGAUAUAAGAAUUAUUUUGAUGUUAGAUUAACAGAACUGUGUAUUAAAAUGAACUAAAAUUAGCUGCAAUAUGAAGCUUAAAAUGAACUAAAAUCAGCUGUAACAUGAAGCUUAAAUGAACUAAAAUCAGCUGCUAUAUGAAGCUUAAAGUGAACUAAUUAAAUCAGCUGCAACAUGAAGCUUUUAAAAUAAACUAAAAUCAGCUGCAAUAUGAAGCUUAAAAUUAACUCUAAAAUAAACUAAAAUCAGCAUAUGAAGUUUGAAAUGAACUCAAAUCAGCUGUAAUAUGAAGCUUAAAAUGAACUCUAAAAUGAACUAAAAUCAACUGCAGUGCGACAAACCCAAUCAGCUGAGAAUACGAUUGUUGAAACGACAUUGCUGAGCUCUGCAAAUUUCCUUCAAAAUGAAGCUUAAUAUCAACUGCAAUUAGCCCAGAAUAAAAUUGUGUGGUAGAAAUCGCCUAAGAAAGAAACGGAGAAGAAGAAUUAUAAUAAGCAAACAGAGAUGAAACAAAUGAUAGAUCUCAGCUAGCUCUGUGCUGUACCUCUCGUGGCACAAGUCGACGGCGGCGGCGGCAGCUGGUUUUGAUUUUGAUACAAUUUCAGAAACAUUCAAGAAUUUUAGUAAAUGAUUUGAAAAGAUGUGUAUAAUGCUAAUGGUAAAAUGGAUGUAUUGAUGAUUUUGAAGGCAAAUUAACGUGUGGAAGAAUAGUUAAAGGAGCGAGAAACAAAGCAACGGAAGAUUAAUUAUGAAGAUUGAGCAAUCAAGCAGUUGAACAGUUGAUCAAACGUGUUACGAUUGGAUUCACUCCUUUAGUUGUAUUGAUAAGAUAAGAUUGCUACGACGCCAUAAAGUAAAGUCGUGCUUUGCUUUUGCAUGGGGAAUUAGGGCCACUCAUUUCAAUAUUAAACCUUCUUUACAUAAAUAUUUCAACUCUAUUUUAUUUUACUAGCAGAAAGAGCGCACGUUGUACACAUCUUAUUUUAUUUGAUAAGAUAAAAAUAUAUAAAUAUAGUAUCUAUUAUAUUUAACUUUUCAAUUAACAAUUUGAUCUAUUUGAUUCUACAACUAUAAUAAACUCUUUUUAAAAUAAUAAUCAAUAAAUUAAUAAACUCUAUAAAUUAAUAAAUUUCUUAUGUUCUAACUUGGGUCAAUUCAAAAAAUCAUCAAUUUUAAUAAAACUUUCUCCGUCCGCCAAAAGUAUGCCACUUUUGUCAUUUUUAGCGUCCGUGAAUAGUAUGUUACUUACAUUUUUAGGUACAUUUUUUUUAUCAUUUAUUUUUAAAAAUACCCAUUAAUUAUUUACAAAAAUAAAUAAAUAAAUAAAAAAUCAGCCUGUAUUCAAUCACAUCCACUCAUAUCAUACAAUGGUGGGACAAUUUUUCUCCACUACAUAAAAAUCACCAAUCAUUUUAUUAAAAUCGGUGUCAACCAAAGUGACAUACUUUUUGUGGAUGAAAGGAGUAAUAAUUAUUUUUUAGAGAACCCUGUUGUAAACAUAUAGGUCCUGUUAAUAUUAUAAAUUAAUAAUUCUUAAAAUAUUACAAUUAUGUAUAUUAUGGUAAUUGUUAAAAUAUAAACCUAUUGUUGAAUCAUCUUAAUUAACUAAAUUUUUGGGCUGCCAACUUAAUUAACUAAUAUACUUUCUGCUUAAUUAUCCUUAUACAAUUGUGAUUGUCUGCUUAUACUUAAUUUUUGGGCUUAGGAUUUUGAGUUCGGCCCAUGUUUUCCUUGUUCUUUAGAAUUCUUUUUGGGCUUUUGGCACUUCGACCUUUUGUUAUUUGGAUCCUUUCUCGCCCCAUCUUUUUUUCUAUAUAAAGAAAAAAAAUAUUAGCUUAUAAAUAAAUUCAAACUUGUAUAAAAAAAAAUUGAACUGAAUUGCUUACCAAAUAUUAUAACAUUUGAAAAAUCUUUGACUGAAGGGGAAGAAUGGCAGGAGAAAAAAGAUGGUGAAAGAAAUAUGGUUCAAAGAAAAUUUGCGUGAAAGUAUAUUAUGUAUAAGUGAAUUGUGUAACUGUUGAAGACGUGUGUAAUUUAAAUAAAUUGACUUAUUUAUUUAUUUAUAUCUUUUAAGUUGGUCACUGUUGUGGGUUAGUGGGAUACAUAUGUAAAACUACCGUGACAUGAUGUGAGUUAAAUUUGCCGUUAAAUAGUUAAAAAUUAGUAAGAUUCUGUUAAAAAUUUGGCCCUAAAUAUUUUUCUGUUAAACUGCUUCUUUAUAUAUUAUAUAGAUUAUUUCGAUUAAUAUUUAAUUUAAGUAAUUAAUAUCCUUUUUUAAGGGAUUUAACUAAACCGGUAAACUUAAUUUUAGUAAGUAACAGAAUAUAAAUUUUAGCGUGAGUUCGAUUAGACAUUAGAGGUGAUCUGAUCUUCAUGUAGCAUUCAAAGCAUCUUAAUUAUAGGUAACUAUGAGACAUCUUUAAUGAAAAAUCAAUAAAUAAAGCCAACUACUCAACCAUCUCUCCUGCAUUUCGACACUCUAUAAAUAAAGCUUGAUAUAUAUGAGAUGGAAGUAUCAUAUAAUUCAUUCAGAUUAAUUGCAGCAAACUCAUCUCUUCCACCAAUCUGUAAUCAACAUGCACUAUAAACACAGAUAGAGCAGUAUAGAAUAAUUCUUGCUAGCAAACUAAAACAUUCUCAAACUAAGAACACAUAAAAUUCAUAACACAGAAAAAUUACAGUCCUUGAAUAAGAGACUAAUGUUUUCACACAAAUCCAACUUACAACAAUUUUUGCUACAAACACAUUCAGCACUCAGGUUUCAUAUAUAAUCCUCAACAAAUCACAAUCCUUAAAUUCAUACAACAAUGUGGUAAUACAACAAUGGAAUUCAAAUCUUGGGAUGACGCGGCGUCUGAUCCCUUCGGCUCUCUCAUUUGCCUGAAAAUUGAUAGAGCUGUGACAAUAACAAAAGAUAUAUAUUUAUGAUAUGAAUUGAUUUGUCUGUGAAAAAAGAGAAGAAGCAGGGAAGAAAUAUUAAGACGUGAUAUAUAUUGCAAAGUAGUGAGACUAACCUGUUACGCAAGUUGGAAAGUCACUUUAGCUCAAAAGAAGAAUAGACCAUAAGUUUGUAGGAAAACUUAUAUCUUAAUUGAUUGGCAAAAGCCACAGCUAAAGGAUUGCACUCCACUAAUUCAAUGGUCCUGAUCGAAGACUGAUCAUCCGACAAAUCGAGUUGUUGCAAUUUGUAGCAGUGCUUCAUCUUUAGUGUACGAAGCAUCGGGAGGCUUCCACAUUGAGGUCUCCAUUGCACCAAAUCGGUGUCCUCAAUUUGAAGUUCAAUGAGUUUCAAGAAACUCCCCGGUGUUAUUUCCCACUCUCGGCCUCGAAAGGCAUAGCAUUCUAAUUUGACAAUCUCGACUUUAGGAAGCAGCGAACCAAUGUCAUUUAGAGACUCCCAAGGAUAUCCCAACCCACUCAAAGAUAACAUUUUGAGACUUGAUGGGAACAUAGAAAGACGAAUAAUAGUAGGAAACUCACGCUUUAUCUCGGGAUUCGUCAUUCUAUAGUAAAGUGUUACCAAAUUCUGGAGUUCUGAUAUAUAACUCAAAGAACUCAAUGGGUUGGUUUCAUCAUCAUCAUAAGGCUUCAACACCACUUCAAUCGCUAAGUCCUUUAAAUUAGGAAUUCUUUUGAGAACUUCCAUUGUACAACUGUUUACACUCACACCAUAAAGUCUAAGGAGCUUGUUCAAGGUAACAUCAUCUGUGUUAGGGGUUGGUAGGUCCCUUCCCCAUAUCUCAAGAUGCUCUAAUUCUUCAAUAUCCCAAAUUUGCACAGGCACAAAAGACUGAACUCCGCGCUUUUUAAUGAUCAUAUGUUCAUGAAUAAUCAAGAAUUGAAGGUUAAAAAGGUUGGAUAUGGAAGGUGGGAGGUCCCCGUUGCAAGUUAGGGCAAGGUACCGCAGACAAACAAGUUUCAAAAUUUCAAUUGGGAUAUGGUAAAAUCGGACUUGAAAAGCAACAAGUACAUUGAGCAACUUGAAACCCAUGGCAU
rnacentral:lncRNA from 1 species